rnacentral:rRNA from 1 species
AGUGAACGCUGGCGGUAGGCCUAACACAUGCAAGUCGAACGGCAGCACAGUAAGAGCUUGCUCUUACGGGUGGCGAGUGGCGGACGGGUGAGGAAUACAUCGGAAUCUACUUUUUCGUGGGGGAUAACGUAGGGAAACUUACGCUAAUACCGCAUACGACCUACGGGUGAAAGCAGGGGAUCUUCGGACCUUGCGCGAUUGAAUGAGCCGAUGUCGGAUUAGCUAGUUGGCGGGGUAAAGGCCCACCAAGGCGACGAUCCGUAGCUGGUCUGAGAGGAUGAUCAGCCACACUGGAACUGAGACACGGUCCAGACUCCUACGGGAGGCAGCAGUGGGGAAUAUUAGACAAUGGGCGCAAGCCUGAUCCAGCCAUACCGCGUGGGUGAAGAAGGCAUUCGGGUUGUAAAGCCCUUUUGUUGGGAAAGAAAAGCAGCAGGUUAAUACCCCGCUGUUCUGACGGUACCCAAAGAAUAAGCACCGGCUAACUUCGUG